CAAUAGCGUAUAUUAAAGUUGUUGCGGUUAAAAAGCUCGUAGUUGGAUUUCUGCCGAGGACGACCGGUCCGCCCUCUGGGUGAGUAUCUGGCUCGGCCUGGGCAUCUUCUUGGAGAACGUAGCUGCACUUGACUGUGUGGUGCGGUAUCCAGGACUUUUACUUUGAGGAAAUUAGAGUGUUUCAAGCAGGCUUACGCCUUGAAUACAUUAGCAUGGAAUAAUAAGAUAGGACCUCGGUUCUAUUUUGUUGGUUUCUAGAGCUGGGGUAAUGAUUAAUAGGGAUAGUUGGGGGCAUUCGUAUUUAACUGUCAGAGAUGAAAUUCUUGGAUUUGUUAAAGACGGACUACUGCGAAAGCAUUUGCCAAGGAUGUUUUCAUUG
rnacentral:rRNA from 1 species